GGUCAAGUUAUUAAGGGUGCAGGGCGGAUGCCUUGGCACUAGGAGCCGAUGAAGGACGUGAUAAGCUGCGAUAAGCUUCGGGGAGUUGCACGUAAACUUUGAUCCGAAGAUUUCCGAAUGAGGAAACUCACUUAGAGUAAUGUCUAAGUAUCAUUAAGUGAAUACAUAGCUUAAUGAGGGGAACUCAGGGAACUGAAACAUCUAAGUACCUGAAGGAAGAGAAAGAAAUUCGAUUCCGUAAGUAGCGGCGAGCGAACGCGGAUUAGCCCAAACCAAUAAAGUUUUCUUUAUUGGGGUUGCGGACAUAUCAUAACGAAGAGGUAUCGUAAUUGAAGAGGUUUGGAAAGACCCACCACAGAAGGUAAUAGUCCUGUAUGUU
rnacentral:rRNA from 1 species